UGUCUAGAACCUGUUCAGGUGAAGUGAUGAAUCUGUGAAAGCUGAACCCAGGUAUUUAAUGAAAAGCUAAAGCUUCUCAUUUAUCCUCUCAUUUAUUCUUAGGUCAGCUACACUCUUAAUCACUGUUUAAAUUGGUUACAGGUGCAAAAAUUAGCAGUGUCUGUAAAAUAUUGGAACUUCUAUUAGACAUUGAUUUAUGUCCCUGUAUUUAGGGGUCUCUGGUCAUGGAACUGUAGAGCAUUUGAAGUAUUUUUUAAAAAAAUGUAUUUUGUGGCUAGAAUGGUGAGCAACAGUGUAGCUCCUUCACCUGGUACACCUGUGUGAUAAUCACAGGAAGACCCCAUGAUAAAUAAAAAGGCAGUUCUUCACCAAGAUCUGAUCAGAAGAGUUUGAAAUCAGCUGGGUCAGGAGAAGAUACUUUGGAGGAGAAGAAAGGUUGGGGUGUAGAGUCCCCUGCUGAAGCUGAACCUCACAACUCAACUGGGCUCCAUCUGGCUUGAAUUAAACAAGGAAUGAUCAAAGUCUACAAAUCUCCCUGAUCUCUAUCAGCAUGGAAAACUAAAGCUAAAUGUUGAUGUCAACCCAAAACCCUGAGAGCUUCAGGGCUGUCAGGAGCACUCUGUGCCUGCGUUGCUUUGGUGGCAGGGCUGGAUGGCUCCCCAAGCCCCACCUCUCUGCCAGCCAAGCUGUAGAUGAGAGGAAGAAUGAACAAGAUGGUUGAGUUAAAUAUAGCACCGGGGUUGGAGCAUAACAGACUGUCCAGGGCUCCACUCAUAAAAGAAGAAAGAAAUUACUUCAGAGAGGAUUAAGCACUCUCUUGCUAUAGAAGUUGUACAUGAUGUCAAAGAGUGGAGAGCACUGAACAGCAUGCUAGGAAAAGGAAAAUCCUGGGAUGCUGACCCAGAACAUUAACACGCUGCUCAGUGGUUAGCUCAAAAUGGAAGAGGAGUUUCACAGCUCUUUUCCCUGAACUGGUGACAGCUGUGACAAAGCCAUACCAUGGAGCUACAGCUCCAGCCUCACCCUCAGUGUGUGUGUGUGCCUGUGGGUAAGGAAAAGUCGUGAUUUUGUACAGCCCCAGUGGUGUCCCAGAGUGAGCGAGCUGCAGGCUGGACACACUGAGGACUGCACUGGAGCAAGAAACUUGGCCAGAUCCCAUCCCACCCUGUGAA